rnacentral:rRNA from 1 species
CCUACGGGAGGCAGCAGUAGGGAAUCUUCCACAAUGGGCGAAAGCCUGAUGGAGCAACGCCGCGUGGGUGAAGAAGGUCUUCGGAUCGUAAAACCCUGUUGUUAGAGAAGAAAGUGCGUGAGAGUAACUGUUCACGUUUCGACGGUAUCUAACCAGAAAGCCACGGCUAACUACGUGCCAGCAGCCGCGGUAAUACGUAGGUGGCAAGCGUUAUCCGGAUUUAUUGGGCGUAAAGGGAACGCAGGCGGUCUUUUAAGUGUGAUGUGAAAGGCCUCGGCUUAACCGGAGUAGUGCAUUGGAAACUGGGUGACUUGAGUGCAGGAGAGGUGAGUGGAACUCCAUGUGUAGCGGUGAAAUGCGUAGAUAUAUGGAAGAACACCAGUGGCGAAAGCAGCUCUCUGGUCUGUAACUGACGCUGAGGUUCGAAGGCGUGGGUAGCAAACAGGAUUAGAUACCCGAGUAGUC